AUUGAACGCUGGCGGCAUGCCUUACACAUGCAAGUCGAACGGCAGCGCGGGGCAACCUGGCGGCGAGUGGCGAACGGGUGAGUAAUAUAUCGGAACAUACUCUAGAGUGGGGGAUAACGUAGCGAAAGUUACGCUAAUACCGCAUACGCACUAAGGUGGAAAGUGGGGGAUUCGCAAGAACCUCAUGCUCAUGGAGUGGCCGAUAUCUGAUUAGCUAGUUGGUGAGGUAAAGGCUCACCAAGGCGACGAUCAGUAGCUGGUUUGAGAGAACGACCAGCCACACUGGAACUGAGACACGGUCCAGACUCCUACGGGAGGCAGCAGUGGGGAAUUUUGGACAAUGGGGGCAACCCUGAUCCAGCAAUGCCGCGUGAGUGAAGAAGGCCUCGGUUGUAAGACUCUUUGUCUAGGGAAGAAACGGUAGAG
rnacentral:rRNA from 1 species